UACGUAGGGGGCAAGCGUUGUCCGGAUUUAUUGGGCGUAAAGAGCGUGUAGGCGGCCAGGUAGGUCUGCUGUGAAAACUCGAGGCUUAACCUCGAGCUGUCGGCGGAAACCAUCUGGCUAGAGUCCGGAAGAGGAGAAUGGAAUUCCCGGUGUAGCGGUGAAAUGCGUAGAGAUCGGGAGGAACACCAGAGGCGAAGGCGGCGACCUGGACAAGUACUGACACUCAACUACGAAAGCGUGGGGAGCAAACAGG
rnacentral:rRNA from 1 species